UACGUAGGGCGCAAGCGUUAUCCGGAAUUAUUGGGCGUAAAGAGCUCGUAGGCGGUUUGUCGCGUCUGCCGUGAAAGUCCGGGCUCAACUCCGGAUCUGCGGUGGGUACGGGCAGACUAGAGUGAUGUAGGGGAGACUGGAAUUCCUGGUGUAGCGGUGAAAUGCGCAGAUAUCAGGAGGAACACCGGUGGCGAAGGCGGGUCUCUGGGCCGAUACUGACGCUGAGGAGCGAAAGCGUGGGAGCGAACAGG
rnacentral:rRNA from 1 species